UACGGGGGGGGGCAAGCGUUGUUCGGAAUUACUGGGCGUAAAGGGCUCGUAGGCGGCCAACUAAGUCAGACGUGAAAUCCCCAGGCUCAACCUGGGAACUGCGUCUGAUACUGGAUGGCUUGAAUCCGGGAGAGGGAUGCAGAAUUCCAGGUGUAGCGGUGAAAUGCGUAGAUAUCAUUUGGAACGCCAAUGGUGAAAACAGGUAGCUGGGGUUGUGCUGACACUGAGACACGAAAGCCAGGGGAGCAAACGGG
rnacentral:rRNA from 1 species